rfam:Schistosoma haematobium scaffold553_16, whole genome shotgun sequence.
GUACUGCUGAAGAGUCUCACAAGAGGAUGAAACGGUCGUCCAGUAC